GUGUGUGGACAGUUUUUGAAGCCCGAGAGGCCUGUGUUGAAAGCCCUGCUCUGUCCCAUAUCAGUUCCCUUACUGUGGAAGGAGGAAAUUGAAUGUGUGAAACACCAGUGGGCGGAAAAGGUUCCCCUAACAAAUGUGGUUAUCAACGGGAAAGAAGCUUUCUAGAGCUUCUGUAUGGGGCCAAGUCAUGCACACUUCAUCAAACUCAUCAGGGGACGACCCAGACCAUCAUUUUUCUCUGGUCUGACACCUCCAUCCUCUACUCGCAGACACCUUUGCAGUGUCCAUCCAGGUGCAGAACGUCAGCAGGAUGCUCAGGGGUCUAUGUGGUCAGGCUUGCCUGGAGUUGGCAUAUGGCAUUUCUGCUUUCAUUCUUAGGUCUGAAAUCCAGGUCACAGGGCUCCAACAUAACUACAAAGGAGCCUGAAAAAUGUUGUAUUCCAGUGUGCCCCGGAGAAGGAAAUGGGAUGGAUAAACUUCGAUGAGACUAAA